AAUCAACGCUGGCGGCGUGCCUCAGACAUGCAAGUCGAACGCGAAAGUUUCCUUCGGGAAGCGAGUAGAGUGGCGUCCGGGUGAGUAACACGUAGGUAAUCUACCUUUGGGUGGGAAUAACAACCGGAAACGGUUGCUAAUACCGCAUAAUGCAGCGGCACCACAUGGUGACAGUUGUUAAAGCGGGGGAUCGCAAGACCUCGCGCCUAAAGAGGAGCCUGCGGCGGAUUAGCUAGNGGUUAAGGUAACGGCUUACCAAGGCAACGAUCCGUAGCCGGCCUGAGAGGGCGGUCGGCCACACUGACACUGAAAUACGGGUCAGACUCCUACGGGAGGCAGC
rnacentral:rRNA from 1 species